rnacentral:rRNA from 1 species
UACGAGGGGUGCAAGCGUUGUCCGGAAUCACUGGGCGUAAAGGGUCCGUAGGCGUCUUAAAAAGUCAUUUGUUAAAUACACCGGCUUAACCGGUGACCUGCAUUUGAAACUAUUAAGAUAGAGUAUAGGAGAGGAAAGCGGAAUUCCUGGUGUAGCGGUGACAUGCGUAGAUAUCAGGAGGAACACCAAUGGCGAAGGCAGCUUUCUGGGAUACAACUGACGCUGAGGUACGAAAGCGUGGGGAGCAAACAGG